AAGGUGGACUUCACUGCUUAUAUUGAGAAGCAUGAGUUCUGUUUUGAUGUUGUUCUACAUGAGCAUGUUACAAAUGAUCAGCGCACAAAAGCUACAUAAUUUGCUUAUGGCGAGACAGGAUAUGAGGCAGCAGUCAAAUGAAAUUAGCUUUGCAGGUUUAUAGAGCCACUAUAGAACUAAUUAUCCCAACCAUCUAUUAGCGCAUAAAAGCUACAUAAUUUGCUUAUGGCGAGACAGGAUAUAAGGCGGCAGUCAAACGAAAUUAGGGAGGCAACAAUAAUACCUCUUAUGCCACAAUUAGACGCCAUUGUGAAGUUGAUCUAUUUAUGUAUUUUUGGA